CACGUAGGGUGCGAGCGUUGUCCGGAAUUAUUGGGCGUAAAGAGCUCGUAGGCGGUGUGUCGCGUCGGCCGUGAAACCUGCAGCUUAACUGUGGGCUUGCGGUCGAUACGGGCAUCACUGGAGUUCGGCAGGGGAGACUGGAAUUCCUGGUGUAGCGGUGAAAUGCGCAGAUAUCAGGAGGAACACCGGUGGCGAAGGCGGGUCUCUGGGCCGGAUACUGACGCUGAGGAGCGAAAGCGUGGGGAGCGAACAGG
rnacentral:rRNA from 1 species